GCCUGUUGAUGACUGCCAAAGUGUUCCAUAUAUGAUGGUUGAUGUGCAGUAACUUUAUCCGGAUCUCCUGGUAUCAUCUUCCCAAAAUAUGUGUGGACCCAUCGGCAAUGGAUUUUUUGUAAGGUAAAAAUGAGAUGGCUAAAAUGGCUUCUUUUUUAGGUGGCAGAGAAAUGAUUGCCGAUGUAUUUCUAGAUCACUCAAACUUAUGCCAAGCCACCUUCAAGGUUUGGAGCUGGAACUGUUACAAGGGGCAUUUAUUGGGCUUGGCGCAGCAAUUGAUAAUCUCUGUAGUUAGAGCGGGCUCAUCUCUACCACAGCCCUCACCCUGUCCCGAACAUUCACAUCUACAACCCUGUUCCUUCAGAAACUGUCGAGCUCGAUGAAGAGCACUUUCUUUAUAGAGGUCGGGAAUGGAUUUGCCUGGGAUGCUUGUUCAUUUCCCCAUGGAUGGCAUGCCAUGAGCCAUAGGCUCAAGCCAUCACAUUGCUUGGUGGCCAGCAGCCUAACCAAAUGAGGCCAAUGCCUUCUGGGUGCACGAAUUUGUGCUCAGUGAGCAUGGGAUAUGAUUUGAAGGAUUUGAUAAUACCCUUGUUGAGAGCUGUGUUCUAGUAAAGUUUUGCUGCGCUUGCAAACACCGGAUGUGGACUCAUUCACCCUCAAGUCCCAAGUAUAGGAAAGUAUAAGGGUGCCCAAGUGCCAGUAGAUCUUAUUGCCUUUCAAUUAAUGAGGGGAGAAAUCGAGAGGGGAACUGAAAGGGCAUUGACGAACAAUGAAGGGUGAGUUGAAGGAGAUUCUUGCAGAUCUCGACAAUCCCAAUGGUGUGGUCUCCGAUACAGAUCAUCAUGAACGUAUCAAGAAGGUAACCCAUUUCUGUUAGCUUCUGCAUGUGAUUUAUGAUCAUGGUAUCUCUCUCUAGAUUGAAGAACCGAUUGCUUAGGUUCAUGACAACAUUUUCUUUGUCCACAUGGAGAAUUUUCCCUGUUAAGUUGCGUCGAUUGGACGACGCUAGAGUGUUACUAUCCUGAUCUUGAUUCUGCUGCAAACUUUCGUGAAAUUUUCAUGAGUCUGGAAAUUGCUUGCGCAUUAAGGAUAUAGGCAUCCUUGGAAGAGCUUACAUAAGAAUUGUGCGUAACCUCCACCACCAGGAUGAGGAGGGUGAGAAGGGUGAGAAGGAGGAAGAAGCAGUUAGAAGAAGCGAUCCAAGAGGGGAAUAGAUGAUUCUAGAGAAUCUGAUGGUGUCGACCAUUUUGAAGAGGAAUAAGAAGCAGAAAAAGGCCCUCGACUCCGAUGAAUCUGAAUGCAGCAAUGACUUGGAAGAGGAGGAAGAAGAGGUGGAUGAAACAGAGGACACCAGAUUCUAACGAAUCCAAAAAAUCUGAAGACAGUGAAGAGGCGGAAGGCGGAGAACAAGAGAUUAAGGGGAAAUUGAUAAUUGGGUGUCGCCAGAGCAAGUGACUAAGGAAAAGUGCCACCAUACUCUAAAGAGGAACGACUUGAUGGUAUUUGGAGAUGACACAGAAAAACGUUUCACAGUAGAGAGACAGAUGGUUUCGUUGCAACUUUCCCUUCUAUUUUCCUAUUGGUUCUUUUGCUUGGUGCUUGUGCAGUACAAUAGAGUAAUUUUUGAAUUUCUUCUUUCUUCUUGAGGAAUCAUUUUCUUUCAUCAAAAUGGAAUGUAGAUGAUUAUCUCCACUGUUCCCAA